AGUUGGGAAGACGUGGAAAGAAGGGACUAAUUAUAGAGCGUGCAAACGGAAGCGUGGGGUGAUUAGGAGUUGAGGCGCUGUGGCGUGUUUAUCUGGGAGCUUCCUCCACGCUCUCUCUCGCCCUUCCUGCCUUCUGAUUGGCCGGAGAGCGGUUGGCGCGGCGACAGAUGCAGGCUUCACAUCUGCUAAUGUCAGAGUGCGGCCUCCAAAAAGGGUUGCGAGGUCUGAGGCGUCAGUGGGGAGGACAAAUGAGAAAGCAGCAGCAAGUUGGCGGCAGAAGAGAGAAGGUUUGGGCUGACUCGGGCAGCCUUUGACACGUCCUAUUUAUACCAGCAGCCGUCUUAUUUACACGCAACCUCUAAUUUGACAGCAGAAAUGUGAUAUCAUCAAAUCCACAAAUAUCACAGACAACUUCUGGGAUGUAUCGCUGGAGGAGUCCAGCUUGUUGACCGUGACCGUGGUCUGCACCCCACAACUUCUUCCACGACUACUGGCAGCUCUACUGAUGCUACGUUGUUAGCACGGCACUGUUGUUCUUCUCUCAGGACAUACUGUAUGUUGUUGACCAGGCAGAACUCAAAGACGAGUCAUCUUAUACUUCCUGGACCCAACAUGACCGCUGGAUGAAAGUACCACACCAUGGUUACAUAGUACCAGUACUCUGCUGGUACUUUGGGUCUCAAUGUACACAACUGUGACCCAGAUGCUAUUUUAUUGUUAUUAUUAUUAUUAAACGUCACCGGUGUGAAAAAUAAAACACAAUUGAAGUAAA